rnacentral:tRNA from 1 species
GUAGGUAUAGCUCAGUGGUAGAGUUCAUGCUUAGUAUGGAUGAUGUUCUGGGUUCAAUCCCCGUUACUUCUG